GCCUCCUUAGCUCACUAGGUAGAGCACGCGGCUGUUAACCGCGGUGUCGUAGGUUCGAGUCCUACAGGAGGCGCCA
rnacentral:tRNA from 1 species